CUCUAGACCCGAUCGCAGCCGCAUCCUUUUGUGCAGCGAUAGCUGUACAAAAGAUAGAGUGGAGAGCGGGAACGUUA
rnacentral:sRNA from 2 species